UGUUAUUUUAAUUAUGCAAUUUUUUUUCUCACUUACUAUUGUGCUUUCAAGUAAUGAGUCCGCGCAUGCCCGCAGACAACAGCAUUCCAGUCAUUUCAAUGCCAACAGCCCGGAGCAAAAGUCACCAAACACGAACAGAUAACUAGAUUAGAUAACCCAUCCAACAGACAAAACCAGCAUUCACUAGCCAGCACUCAAUCAGCAGAAACCUGUGGGAAUGAGAAAUUAAUCUUCAGACAAUGGAUGUUGUGAUGCAGAAGACAACAUAAUGAUCGGAGACAGAGUCUGUCUGCAGGAACUGGACAUUAGUGACACUUUACUGUCUCUGUCUGGGACACACAAAAAAUGGACACAAACUCUCUAUGCUUUGGUAAGUUUCAUGUCGUGAAUCUA